rnacentral:rRNA from 1 species
CCUACGGGCGGCAGCAGUGGGGAAUUUUGGACAAUGGGCGCAAGCCUGAUCCAGCAAUGCCGCGUGAGUGAAGAAGGCCUUCGGGUUGUAAAGCUCUUUCAGUUGAAAAGAAAAAGUUCUGGCUAAUAUCUAGAACUCAUGACGGUAUCAACAGAAGAAGCACCGGCUAACUACGUGCCAGCAGCCGCGGUAAUACGUAGGGUGCAAGCGUUAAUCGGAAUUACUGGGCGUAAAGGGUGCGCAGGUGGUUUUAUAAGUCAGAUGUGAAAUCCCCGGGCUUAACCUGGGAAUUGCGUUUGAAACUAUAAGACUAGAGUGUGGCAGAGGGGGGUGGAAUUCCAUGUGUAGCAGUGAAAUGCGUAGAGAUAUGGAAGAACAUCGAUGGCGAAGGCAGCCCCCUGGGUUAACACUGACACUCAGGCACGAAAGCGUGGGGAGCAAACAGGAUUAGAUACCCUGGUAGUC